rnacentral:rRNA from 1 species
AAUGAACGCUGGCGGCGUGCUUAACACAUGCAAGUCGUACGAGAACACCCUAGCUUGCUAGGGUAAGUAAAGUGGCGCACGGGUGAGUAACGCGUGGGUAAUCUACCUUCGAAUUGGGGAUAACGUUGCGAAAGCGACGCUAAUACCGAAUAACAUCCAUUAAUCUUCGGGUUUUUGGAUCAAGGGUGGCCUCUACAUGUAAGCUACUGUUUGAAGAUGAGCCCGCGUACCAUUAGCUUGUUGGUGGGGUAAUGGCCUACCAAGGCUUCGAUGGUUAGCUGGUCUGAGAGGAUGAUCAGCCACACUGGAACUGACACACGGUCCAGACUCCUACGGGAGGCAGCAGUGAGGAAUUUUGCGCAAUGGGGGAAACCCUGACGCAGCAACGCCGCGUGAGUGAUGAAGGCUUUCGGGUCGUAAAGCUCUGUCAAGUGGGAAGAACAAGCUUGAUGUUAAUAUCAUCAAGAACUGACGGUACCACUGAAGGAAGCACCGGCUAACUCCGUG